UACGAAGGGGGCUAGCGUUGCUCGGAAUUACUGGGCGUAAAGCGUGCGCAGGCGGCGCGGUAAGUCGGGUGUGAAAUCUCGGAGCUUAACUCCGAAACUGCAUUCGAUACUGCCGUGCUUGAGGACUGGAGAGGAGACUGGAAUUUACGGUGUAGCGGUGAAAUGCGUAGAUAUCGUAAGGAAGACCAGUGGCGAAGGCGGGUCUCUGGACAGUUCCUGACGCUGAGGCACGAAGGUCAGGGGAGCAAACGGG
rnacentral:rRNA from 1 species